rnacentral:ncRNA from 1 species
AGUGUUCGUUUCCGGCAUUGUGUUGGCUCUUUCUGGGAUUACACAUGUUACUUUGUGGGUGUAGGGAGUUAUAGUACUGUUUUGUUUCUUCUUUAAGAGGGGAGGGAAAGUGGUAGCAUCUGAAAAUCAGAUUAGAAUUCGAUGACUUUGCGAUAGAUUCCCCUACUUCAGUGGUUAAGAUUAGUUAAAUAUUUCAGAAAUGAAUAACUAGUUAUGAUAGGAAAGAGGAGGAGAGAAUAAAGUGCCAGCAUCUGCGGUUAAACUUUGUCUCCGAGUUAAUACGAGUUCGUGGUGAGAUGUCAAAGAAUUUAAGGCUUUAUUCUUGUUUAGUUCGGUGAAAUGAUUAAAUCAAGGAUUUCUGAGAGUCUUGACUUUGUUUGUCUGUGAGGCUGGGAGUUAGACGGGGAUUAGAUACCCCCUUAUUAAUGUUGUAUUAUGAAGCCAUGGGUAGUACGGGCGGUUGUUUAAAAUCCAAGGAAAUUGGCGGUAACUUCAUAUCAUGUGAGGGGAACUUGGCGGUUAAUCCGAUAGUCCUCGUGGACUUUACCUUUUGUAUUCUUAGCCUACCGCCGUUGUCAGUAAUUUUUUUGUUAAUACAGAGGAUUGCUAGGGGUAAUGGGUGAAUUUAACUGUUCUACUCGAAUUCAGGUAAGGGUGCUGGUUAUCAAAAGGGCUUAGCUGAGUUACAUUUAUAAAAUAAUACGGAAAUAAGCUUGAAAUAGGCUUAUGAAAGGUGUACUUCAUAGUAAUUUUUUAUAGUGAGGAAAAAUGAAUCGGUUCUGGGUUGUGUACAAAUCGCCCGGCACCCCUGUAUAACCAAGUCUGGGUAAGUCGUAACAAAGUAAUACUACCGUAAGGUGGCUUUACAGAAU